rnacentral:lncRNA from 1 species
UGUAGAUUUGUGGGCUCACCUGCACCAUCAUGAGCAGCACAGGUACAACAAACAAGUCUGAACUGAGCUUUUCCAUAGUGACAGCAGGAAAUAGCAGAAGCUUUCUCUGCUGAGCUGUGAUGACAAGCUUGUGCUUGUCACGGGCAAAGAUAGGGCUUUAGAGUGACCAGGAUGUGGCUGGGAUGGGAUGCUGGCCAGGGGCUGAUUAGGACAGGAAGGAGUGUGUGCUUUAGAUGCUGCUGGUCUCUGUAGGGUGCAUCCUGACAUGUGUCCUGGCAUGUCCCAUGCCAAGUGCAGAAUGGUGGCCACGUGGCCUGGUUGUCCCCUCUGCUCUAACUUAAUCAUCUGCAGAAGGGGAAAACACAGCAUUGAGCAGGUCACAUCGAGAGAAGAUGGUGUCUGCUUCUCAGCUUCAAGAAAGGGGCUGGGAAAGAAACCUGAAGUCGUGAGUCUGGUGGAGCACUGCGUGUUUCCAAACGCUCUGCUCUGAGUUCAUCCCACCAGUAAGGCUGUGCAGCGUGAGAACUGCUGUUGCAAAACUACCAGAUUCAACCUCCUGGGGAGCCUUUCUGGCCAAGGUUUUACAAGCCAGCACCUGCUUUGCCUGCCUGACUUCUUUCUAUAUUUAUUCCUCUGCACCCGGUUUUUGCCUUUGCCUGUGGAACUGUCACAAACAUUUGUGCUGGCUUUUGACUGCACAGGACUUCAGCUUGCAAGUCCUAAAUCUGCCUUUGUGCAUGGUGGAGGAGCAGGCGUUUUUGUGCAUGGUUGUGCCAUCUGUGUGUCUGAGCAUCCCUGGUCCUUGCUGUCUGCAUUAUGUGGCCUGUGUCCCUGUGAUUCUGCAGCAGUCCCUCUGUUCUCUGUCCCUUCAAGACGUUUUUAUGAAUCAAAUAGUCUCAGUCAUCCUACUUAUGUAAUUUGUAAUUUUUCAUUUAACUGUGCCACCCCUGACCCAGUGGCUGCUUUAAGGCAAAGGCAAUGUGAGCAACCCUCACUCCCCUGGGUUUUGUGUCCCUGUCCCUGCCAUGUGUGCCACUGCAGGCUGCAUUCCUCUCCUGUUCUGUAA